rnacentral:misc_RNA from 1 species
AACGCAUAUUGCGCCCUCUGGUAUUCCGGGGGGCACACCUGUCCGAGCGCCAUUUCAACCCUCAAGCAAUUGCUUGGUGUUGGGUAUAAAGGUCCUUGAAAAAGGGACCUACCCGUAAUUUGUAGGCGGUCACCGCCCACGCCCCUAACGUAGCAGGCUCACGCACUCGCUAGGGGAUGGCUCGUGGCUAGCCUGGCAAACUCAAACCCUAAAGGUUUGGCCUCGGAUCAGGUGGGGAUACCCGCUGAACUUAA